rnacentral:rRNA from 1 species
AGAGUUUGAUCCUGGCUCAGGACGAACGCUGGCGGCGUGCUUAACACAUGCAAGUCAAGGGGAAAGUUUUGCUUCGGCGGAAUGAGUAUACUGGCGGACGGGUGAGUAACGCGUAGGCGACCUGCCCUUAAGAGAGGGAUAACCCAGCGAAAGUUGGACUAAUACCUUAUAAUACUAUUUUGUUGCAUGAUAGAAUAGUCAAAGGGUGCCAAUUUAUUGGUAUUGCUUAAGGAUGGGCCUGCGUUCCAUUAGUUAGUUGGUAGGGUAACGGCUUACCAAGACGACGAUGGAUAGCUGGUUUGAGAGAGUGAUCAGCCACACUGGGACUGAGAUACGGCCCAGACUCCUACGGGAGGCAGCAGUGAGGAAUAUUGCGCAAUGGGCGAAAGCCUGACGCAGCAACGCCGCGUGGGGGAUGAAGCUUUAUGGAGUGUAAACCCCUGUAAGUAGGGACGAAAGUUACCUAUUCGAAUAGGAUGGGUAUUUGACGGUACCUGCAGAGUAAGCUCCGGCUAACUCCGUGCCAGCAGCCGCGGUAAUACGGGGGGAGCAAGCGUUGUCCGGAAUUACUGGGCGUAAAGGGCGUGUAGGCGGUAUUGUAAGUCAGAUGUAAAAGGCUACGGCUUAACCGUAGAUUGUCAUUUGAAACUGCAGUACUUGAGUGCGAGAGAGGGUAGUGGAAUUCCCAGUGUAGCGGUGAAAUGCGUAGAUAUUGGGAAGAACACCAGUAGCGAAGGCGGCUACCUGGCUCGUAACUGACGCUAAUGCGCGAAAGCGUGGGGAGCGAACAGGAUUAGAUACCCUGGUAGUCCACGCCGUAAACGAUGAACACUAGGUGUUGGUCCCGACGUGUCGGGAUCGGUGCCGCAGCAAACGCAUUAAGUGUUCCGCCUGGGGAGUACGAUCGCAAGGUUGAAACUCAAAGGAAUUGACGGGGGCCCGCACAAGCGGUGGAGCAUGUGGUUUAAUUCGAU